rnacentral:rRNA from 1 species
ACGGAGGGCUUGCCCUUCUGAUCAGUGGCGAACGGGUGAGUAACACGUGAGUAACCUGCCCUUCACUCUGGGAUAACGCUGGGAAACCGGUGCUAAUACUGGAUAUGACCUACUCGGGCAUCCGAUGUGGGUGGAAAGAUUUAUUGGUGGAGGAUGGACUCGCGGCCUAUCAGCUUGUUGGUGAGGUAAUGGCUCACCAAGGCGACGACGGGUAGCCGGCCUGAGAGGGCGAUCGGCCACACUGGGACUGAGACACGGCCCAGACUCCUACGGGAGGCAGCAGUGGGGAAUAUUGCACAAUGGGCGAAAGCCUGAUGCAGCGACGCCGCGUGAGGGAUGAAGGCCUUCGGGUUGUAAACCUCUUUCAGCAGGGAAGAAGCGGCCGGGUUUUCUUGGUUGUGACGGUACCUGCAGAAGAAGCACCGGCUAACUACGUGCCAGCAGCCGCGGUAAUACGUAGGGUGCAAGCGUUGUCCGGAAUUAUUGGGCGUAAAGAGCUUGUAGGCGGUUUGUCGCGUCUGCUGUGAAAUUUCGGGGCUCAACCCCGAACUUGCAGUGGGUACGGGCAGACUAGAGUGUGGUAGGGGAGACUGGAAUUCCUGGUGUAGCGGUGAAAUGCGCAGAUAUCAGGAGGAACACCGAUGGCGAAGGCAGGUCUCUGGGCCACUACUGACGCUGAGAAGCGAAAGCAUGGGGAGCGAACAGGAUUAGAUACCCUGGUAGUCCAUGCCGUANACGUUGGGAACUAGGUGUGGGCCUCAUUCNACGAGGUCCGUGCCGCAGCUAACGCAUUAAGUUCCCCGCCUGGGGAGUACGGCCGCAAG